CUUAUGCUCUUUUCAUCCGAAAAUACUUGUCAUAUGAAUGGAUGUAUCUAGAUGUAUUUUAGUUUUAGAUACAAUCAUUUUAUCCAUUGAUAUGACAAGUAAUUCCGGACGGAGGGAGUAUUUG
rnacentral:pre_miRNA from 1 species